rnacentral:tRNA from 1 species
UCUCAAUUAGCUCAGCGGUAGAGCAAAGUCUUGAUAAGGCUUGGGCCACUAGUUCGAAUCUAGUAUUGAGAACCA